AGCGAACGCUGGCGGCAUGCCUAACACAUGCAAGUCUCACGGGCAGCGAUGUCAGUGGCGGACGGGUGAGUAACGCGUAGGUAUCUAUCCUUAGGUGGGGGACAACCACGGGAAACUGUGGCUAAUACCGCAUAAUGACUGAGGUCCAAAGGCGCAAGUCGCCUGGGGAGGAGCCUGCGUACGAUUAGCUAGUUGGUGGGGUAACGGCCUACCAAGGCGAUGAUCGUUAGCUGGUCUGAGAGGAUGAUCAGCCACACUGGGACUGAGACACGGCCCA
rnacentral:rRNA from 1 species